AUUGAACGCUGGCGGCAUGCCUAACACAUGCAAGUCGAACGGUAACAGGUCUAGCUUGCUAGAUGCUGACGAGUGGCGGACGGGUGAGUAAUGCAUAGGAAUCUGCCCAGUAGCGGGGGACAACUCGGGGAAACUCGAGCUAAUACCGCAUACGCCCUACGGGGAAAGGCAGGGGGAGCCUUCCGGGCCUUCGGCACUAUUGGAUGAGCCUAUGUCUGAUUAGCUAGUGGUGGGUACGGCAUACCAAGGCGACGAUCAGUAGCUGGUCUGAGAGGACGAUCAGCCACACUGGAACUGAGACACGGUCCAGACUCCUACGGGAGGCAGCAGUGGGGAAUAUUGGACAAUGGGGGCAACCCUGAUCCAGCAAUGCCGCGUGUGUGAAGAAGGCCUGCGGGUUGUAAACACUUUCAGUAGAGAAGAAUUUCUGGGAUUAAUACUCCCCAGGCUUGACUUAACCUACAGAAGAAGCUCCGGCUAACUCCGUGCCAGCAGCCGCGGUAAUACGGAGGGUGCGAGCGUUAAUCGGAAUUACUGGCGUAAAGCGCACGUAGGCGGUUUAGUAAGUCGGAUGUGAAAUCCCCGGGCUUAACCUGGGAAUUGCAUUCGAUACUGCUAGGCUAGAGUAUGGUAGAGGGUAGUGGAAUUCCGGGUGUAGCGGUGAAAUGCGUAGAUAUCCGGAGGAACACCAGUGGCGAAGGCGGCUACCUGGACCAAUACUGACGCUGAGGUGCG
rnacentral:rRNA from 1 species